GGUAAACAAUGGCGGUGGCAGGCGGGGCCGACGAGGGGCCAUCUCCCCCUCAUCACUCUGCUGGGACCCGGGGGUCCCCACGUUGGGGAGCAGCGGCGUCCCCCGCUCCCGCCGGACCCGAGAGCCUGUGAACUUGGAACUUGGUGCUCAGACCUAUGCUCCAGACUUCCCCAGAUAUGACCACUGCCUCGAGGGGGAGCCCAAGUCAGCCCGUCUGCGUUCAAGCUUGGAGUUUUCCAUCCUCUGGCGAAGAAGUUUGCCUCUCUGUGCCUCAGUUUCCCCAUCGGACUACAGGCCCGAUCGGAGUCCUUAAUUUCAGAAAGGCCGCGGGUCCCAAAGGCCCGCCCAGCGUUCAUCCGACAGGAGGCUCGAACCCAGGAUCCAGUAACCCUGCCCUGGUGCCCAAGGCAGCUGGGACUCCUACCCAGUUACACUCGAGAGCAGCACUUUGGGGCAAGGAGGUCAGCGCAAGGCAGGUGCCGGUGGAAAUGGGUGUGGGUCGCAGGCCUGGAGUAGGAUGGUAUGAACGCGGGUGCAGAGGCCCCCAUCCCCAAGCCGGAGCUGGCAGCACCUGCUGCAAGCUGGCCAGAGGGGGGCCUGGGCGUGAGUCACCGCCCAGCAAUGAGGAGUGAGUCACACAGGGCGGGGUCCCCCCCCACAGCUCCCCCCCAGCCGCUCCCACAAAGGCCCUUUGAGAAGAGUUCCCCACCCCCUCCUCCCGUCCUUAAGCCCCUCUGGAGGAUGGGAUGUGGGGCCAAGACCCUGAUGGGCUACCCCCAGGAGCUCUGCCUCGGCCGGGAGGCAGCAGCCUGUUUCCGCCAUGGCUGUGAAGUCACCGUGGGCAGCCGGGGGUCCCCUUCCACCCCCACCCCCCCAGGGAAGGGGCUUCCAGGCUGCCUGAGUCACUCCGGGGACAGCAGAGGGUCACAUGCACAGAAUGGACAAACUGAAUCAGGCUGUCUGGUAAGGCCGGCAAGGCGUGGCUGGGAGGGUACCUUGGACUUAGGCUUUGUGAAAACCCUGGGAAGAGCCAUCCCCCCCACCCCCAGGGAACCUGCAGCUCAGGGAAGCCCGUGGCAGGAAAAGGGGUGCACAUCUGGCCUCCUCUCCUUGGCUUUACCACCACUCUUGCCGGGCCUCCCUCCUUGCCCUGGUGUGGGAGGGAGCAGCAAGGCCCUGUGGCUGAGAGUGAGGCUCUGGGCAGGGUUGGGUCCCACAGUUCGCAGGGGACACCCAAACACUCAGUAAUCAAGAUGAAACUUAAAAAAA